GCUUGAUGUUCUCCCGGGACAUCCAGGUCUCCCUCACCCAGUUUGAACACAUUAAUUGGCAGAAGUUUCCCCUGUGAUCUUCCAGUACAACAUUCUUCCUGCAGCCACACCUGACCAGUGGGAGGACUGACUAAAUUCUUCAUCCUCUCCAUCCCAUGCCUUUACGUCUGCUGUGUCUCCCACGUGUUCGUGGAUCGUGCCUGAGGCUGGGACAGACAACUCACAACCAUGAAGAAAAGGCAAAGAGAAUCACAAAGAUGCCAGCCCAACGCUGGGAAGCUACUAGCCUACACCAAUGCUAACAACCAUCCAUUUAUGACUUCUUGUCAUGUGAGGAGAAUGAACCUUCUGUGUGAAUGUCACUUGACUAAGAACAAAUAACAACAAAAGAACUCACCUACGUUCCUUCUAACUAAAGGAUGUGUUUAUUAUUUCCCCUUUCUAACACCACACUCCACAGAACUACUUAUCUACAUUUAUUUAACAAGGCACAUAACUUACAGAUGGUUGGAUUGUCAUAGACGCAUUUGGGAGCUGGAAAUAAUUAUGCCCUUUUCCAUGUGGAUCAGAGACCAAAGUAAGCCAGCUCUCACAGGGAGAAGAAUGAAGUGCCCACAUAGAAAGAGGCAGAGAUAAGAGUUGGAGAGUCCAGAUAGUUUUCUCAUCCUCAUCUGCAUUUCUGACCUUGUUUGUCGUGCCGUAGGAAAGAAGGAAGGAAUGAAGACAACAAAGCAGGAAGGCAGGCAGGAAGAAAAACACCUAUAAAAUCAAGGGCAGUAGAAACCACAGAAGAAAGCCAGAAAACCAGCCAGAUAGAUGGCUGCUGAAACAAUUCAAGAGAGACAUGAUGAUCUACUAUAAUGGCGGUGGAGAACAGAUAGAAAUAAGAAGUCUGUGGCUCAGAGAGACAAAGAGUUUUUUUUAAAAACACACAGCAAACAAGAAGCGGAAUCAGGAUUUGACUCUGUAUCCAACUGACACCCAAACACCAAAUUUUCCAUCAUCUAUGCUUGUUGAAGUUUUUAAUGUAAUAUUCACUCAAUUCCUUUUUAAUAUGCAAGAACUCACAGAAACCCACACAGCCUCCAUAGGAGAACUGGUAUUUAAGCAGUCUCUGCAAAAUCAUAAUAAGGAGGAGGUAAAAGACCAUUCCACUGAAGAGGAGAUGGAAAAAAAGGAGUUUUAGAAAUCUCUCUGCAUGAAUAGAGGAUCUGUUAUUAAAGGCUAUUUUAGGAAGCAAGAAUGGAAGAAUCUGCUCCUCUCCUUUCCCAUUUCCUGGUUCUUGCAUAUCCAUCAAGGAAUCCAUCCAAUGGGCCCUUUGACACAGCUGGGAUAAUGCAGGAAAUCAGCAUUAUUCUUAGCUUACUGAAUGAAUGAUAUGGUGAAGACUCAAAAGCAGAGUCUCCAAGGGAAAUUUAAAAAAGCAUGGAAGUUUUAGGUGGGAGAAUGAAUGACUCAGCAUGCAUGUUAGAAGACUUUCAAGUAUUUGGAGGGUUCUCAUUUGGAAGGUGUAAAACCAGGACAACAACUCUGAAGAAGAUUAGAUUUCCUCUUAGGGUUCAUAUGUAGAAAUCACCAAGAAACAAGAUUCUUCAGAACUGACAUGAGAGAAGAACUUCCUCAAUCACAUGGUGGAAGGCAAUGAGCUGCCUGUAACGGGAAAUACUCCAAUAAAGGUGGUGUGACCACUUGGUGGAGAUGUUGUAGAGAAAAUUCAAGAACUGUAAAGGCCUUUAAAAUCCCUGACAUCGCAGGCUCCUCUGAUUCUGGGAGCUGCACUGAAUCCAAAUGAAUAAUACUAAAACCAUAUUUACCAUAGUCAUUAUCAUGUCUCUAGACAUCUGAGGAGAUGGAUGUUGUCUUUACUGUUUAGAUGGGAGCAUCUAGUCAGGAAUAGAAUCCAAUCACACUAGGAACCAAAUGGACUAGCCACUGAGGUAUAGCAAAUCAGAGUCCCUUAGGGGAGAAGAUGAGUCAUAGAUCAUAAUCCUCACUGGUGUUGUUACAGUCUUCCUGCGCUACAUAGCAUUGAAAUAGGCUGGAAAUGUUCUGUCCUUGGGGUGAUAAAAUAUUCCUUGGUAAGCACACAGAUUCAUUUUCCUAAAGCAAAUGAAUCACUUGUGCUUUUCUUCUCAUAUUUUUUAUCAACAGGGUAAGAACCCUGCCUGUGAAAAAAUCUGUCUAAAAAAUAAGUGUAUAUUUCAAGAGGGACUAUACAAAGAGUAAACACAUGGCAGGUCUCAUGCCAGAGGUCAAACCAGGUUCAACAUAUUUGCAUAUUUUGAUGGGAGCUGUAGAAUAAGGACUACCAAAAUGUACACUUGUUGUGUCAACCCUAAGGGUCUAAAUUUGAACACAAACGGCUUUAGGUAUUGAAGGGAAAACUGUUGCCCAAAGUAUGAAUUCUAUCUAAUAACUCAAUCCUCUAUUGUUUCCCUCUUGGGGUUUAGUAUGCCCACACUGAGAUUUGAAUGCUAAAUCUAGGUCAAACAGAAAUUUGCUCAAGUAUUCCCAGUUCUGAGGACUCGGAAGCUGCUCUGAAAACACUUGUGCUGAAUGACGGCAUUUUACAGAGGCAAUAUGCACUGCAUCUAUUCUUUGAAAAAAUUUUUUUGAGUUCUUUCUCUAUGUCAAGUAUUCUGCUGGGCCUAGGAAUGGGGAGGAUGAGGUAUGGGCCCUUCCUUCAACUAGCUCAUAAUGGUGUGCAGACAGAUUUACAGUGAUAUAAUUCAGUGUUUUUAGUGCUGCAAGAGAGGUAUUUAUAAUGAACAAUGGUUAUGUAAAGAAAGGAAAAAUUGACCAUUUGCUCUGUGUAUUUGGGGGGAAGGUGAGGUUUGUAGGAAAAAGUUUAUCAAAAGAGUUAACAUGUAACCUGUAAGCUGGAUGUUGAAGUUUAUCCUUUCUUAUAUAGGUGAAAGAUGGGACAGUAUUCCAGAGAGAAGGAGGAGAAUAUGCAAAUGUGCCAUUUGUGGAAAAGUGUAUAUAUUUAGGAAAAUGUUAAUAUGGCUAGUCCAUGGGGUUGUACAGGAGACGGGGCUGGGAAGUAGGAGAGGAGAGUGAGUGAUUUUUUUUUACAAACAUGAUCCUUUGGCUAUGGGGAAGAAAAACAAAUACAAAAAGGUUUUAAAGAGGAAAGAGACAUGAUCAGGUUUUAUGAUUUAUAAAUGUAUGUGUCCAUACAGGGAGACUGGAUUGCAAGGGAAAAAAUGGAAUCUGGAAGCAUGAUUAAAAGUUGAUUACAAAAUUUAUAAGUUGGGUAAAAUCUAGUGGUGGUAAGCCUAUGGAGAAACAGAUAUUCUCAUACACUUUUGGUAGAAACGUAAAUUGGUAUAACUUUUUGGAAGACAAUUUGCUAACAUGUAGCAACUUCACUUUUAGCAUUUAUCUUAUAGAUAUAUUCACACACACACAAUGUGACAUUUAGUUGACAACCUAAAUGUCCAUCAAUAGGGAACUACAUUUAUACAAUGUAAUAGGCUGAAAUCAUAAAAGCAGAAUGAGGUGGAGAUUUACAUAUAGAUAUGGAAAAAUGGUGAAGGUCUAUAGUUAAGGGAAAAGUAUGAUUUGCAGUACAGGUUAUAGACAAACAGAUUGGCAGACAGAUAGACAUAAAAUUGGUAACCAUCGUGUUAAAAAUAACUAGAAAAGCUAAGUCAAAACAAACAAACAAAAAUAUAGUUUGAAGGAAGUGGAGACCUUCCAAGUCAUUGAAAAAUUAUAGGUCUAAGAUCCUGGAAAACAAAGAGAUUGGGAGAAACAAGCCUGGUAUUUGAAGUAGCUUUUU
rnacentral:lncRNA from 1 species